UACGUAGGGUGCGAGCGUUGUCCGGAUUCACUGGGUGUAAAGGGAGCGCAGGCGGGUUGGCAAGUCAUUGGUGAAAUUCUCAGGCUCAACUUGGGGACUGCCAAUGAUACUGCUGAUCUUGAGUACGGGAGAGGAAGACGGAAUUCCUGGUGUAGCGGUGAAAUGCGUAGAUAUCAGGAAGAACACCGGUGGCGAAGGCGGUCUUCUGGCCCGUUACUGACGCUCAUGCUCGAAAGCGUGGGGAGCAAACAGGAUUAGAUACCCCAGUAGUCC
rnacentral:rRNA from 1 species